GCCCACUUCUGAUAAAACAUUACGAAGUUAAGCCCAUACGGACAGGCGGGGCGGUUGCCGA
rnacentral:sRNA from 1 species